GUGAUCGUAGCUCAACUGGUUAGAGCACCGGAUUGUGAUUCCGGGGGUUGCGGGUUCAAGUCCCGUCGGUCACC
rnacentral:tRNA from 1 species